rnacentral:rRNA from 1 species
UACGUAGGGUGCAAGCGUUAAUCGGAAUUACUGGGCAUAAAGCGUGCGCAGGCGGUUCGCUAAGACAGAUGUGAAAUCCCCGGGCUUAACCUGGGAACUGCAUUUGUGACUGGCGGGCUAGAGUAUGGCAGAGGGGGGUAGAAUUCCACGUGUAGCAGUGAAAUGCGUAGAGAUGUGGAGGAAUACCGAUGGCGAAGGCAGCCCCCUGGGCCAAUACUGACGCUGAGGAGCGAAAGCGUGGGGAGCGAACAGG